rnacentral:RNase_P_RNA from 1 species
GGGCAGGUAGAAGGUGGUCGGGCUUGACAUUAUAAAUGUCAAGUCAGGAAAGUCCGGGCUCCGGAGGAUAGCGUAAUGGGUAACGCCCAUCUCCGUCAUAAAACUUGACGGAAGGAUUUCUGCCAUAAACCUUGGCGGACCCGUGAAUAUUUUUGGCGGGAGAGCCACAGAGACGAGCGCCCCACUGUUUUUGUCUUGCUUCGCAAGGCAAAAACAAAGCGUAAACGGGGCAGGUGAAACGAGGUAAUCUCUACGCGGAGCAAGGUAAAAUAGCCCCGCCCUUCCUACCACAUAGGUAGGAAUAAAAAUGGUCCGUUUGAAAUCCUCAAAAUUUUUUGAGGAAGGGCGGGAGGGUAAGCUGCUUGAGUCCUGACGGUAACGUCAGAAUCGAGAGAAAUGGCCACUGCAACCACUGAAACACUGAAGAAAAGGCGAGACACUGAAAAAGCAUUUCUCAGUGUUUCAGUAAACCCGAGGUUUUAAAGAUAUCAUUUCAGUGUCCUCAGUGGUUGCGACAGAACUCGGCUUAUUCUGCCUGCCCCUUU